rnacentral:rRNA from 1 species
UACGGAGGGUGCAAGCGUUAUCCGGAUUUACUGGGUUUAAAGGGUGUGUAGGCGGGCUUUUAAGUCAGCGGUGAAAUCUCCGGGCUCAACCUGGAAACUGCCAUUGAUACUAUUAGUCUUGAAUUUUGUUGAGGUAGGCGGAAUAAGUCAUGUAGCGGUGAAAUGCAUAGAUAUGACUUAGAACACCAAUUGCGAAGGCGGCUUGCUAAACAAAUAUUGACGCUGAGGCACGAAAGCGUGGGGAUCAAACAGG